rnacentral:rRNA from 1 species
UAGGGAAUCUUCGGCAAUGGGGGGAACCCUGACCGAGCAACGCCGCGUGAGUGAAGAAGGUUUUCGGAUCGUAAAGCUCUGUUGUUAAGGAAGAACGAGUGUGAGAAUGGAAAGUUCAUACUGUGACGGUACUUAACCAGAAAGGGACGGCUAACUACGUGCCAGCAGCCGCGGUAAUACGUAGGUCCCGAGCGUUGUCCGGAUUUAUUGGGCGUAAAGCGAGCGCAGGCGGGUAGAUAAGUCUGAAGUUAAAGGCAGUGGCUCAACCAUUGUAGGCUUUGGAAACUGUUUAACUUGAGUGCAGAAGGGGAGAGUGGAAUUCCAUGUGUAGCGGUGAAAUGCGUAGAUAUAUGGAGGAACACCGGUGGCGAAAGCGGCUCUCUGGUCUGUAACUGACGCUGAGGCUCGAAAGCGUGGGGAGCGAACAGG